CAUUGUGGAUGACGAAUACUUAUGAAAUAAACAGUUAUCCCUGUCUGAUAUUUGGUGCUGAUAUUUCUUAAAUUCUGACCUUACA